rnacentral:lncRNA from 1 species
AUGUGUCUCACCAUUGUGAUGCAUUGUGAAUUCUUCCUCAUGGACUUGACUGAUGAUCCUCAGCUUCAUCCCACCUUCUCUGCCCUCUUCCUCCCCAUCUAUGUAGUCAUGGUGAUGGAAACCUGGGCCUCCUUGCCUUCAUUGUGGUCAGUCCCCAAUUCCUCACCCCCAUGUAUUUCUUCCUCAGCAACUGGUCCUCUGUUGACUUCUGUUAUUCUUCAGUAACAGUCCCAAAAAUAUCAAUGGGGUUCUUUUCUGACUGCCAAGUCUUCUCCUUCUCUGGUUGCAUGGCCCAGUUAAGCUGCUUUUAAAAUAUUUGCUGACACCGAGUUCUUCCUCCUGGCCUCCAUGGUCUAUUACCGCUAAGAGGCCGUCUGCAAUCCUCUGCUCUACCAUAUCACCAUGUCCCCAAAGCUCUGCUUGCAGCUGGUGGCCACCAGCUAUGAACAUGGUGCUCCCUAGUAGCACAAUCUUUCAUCUGAUCUUCUGUAAGUCUGUGCCAUCAUUCAUUAAUUCUGUUAUUUCCUCCCCCACCGAGGCUUUAAAAACUCUCCUGCUCUGACAUGCAAGGCCUUCAACUUCUUACCUUUGCCUCUAGUAGCUUUAAUGUAUCGGUGUCCCGGACAAUCUUCCUUGUCUCCAUUUAAUUAUGAGAAUGCCCUCGGUUUGAGGCAAACACUUGUGCUUCCCACCUGACAGCAGUCAGCCUGUGCUAUGGAACCACAGUGUUCCUUCACCUGCACCUAUCCUUGAAGUGUUCACCAGACAGAGAUAUGCUGGUCUCUGUUUUACACAGUGGCUAUUCUCAUGCUCAACCCCAUGGUCCAAAGUCUGAGGAACAAGGAUGUGAAGAAAACAUUUGGGACUUCCUCAUGAAGGUUUACAAUUCCUCUCCUUCCCCACGCCCAGGUCCCCACGCUGUCCAAAAUAGUAAAGGAGGGUAAGGGAAGGGAAAGAGAUGGAAGUGAUAUAUUUUGGUAGCCAAAUGUGUCUCAGACAUUAUUCU